CUACAGACACACACACACUCUUGUCCACCUAUACAGCUUCCACUGUCCUAAUGCCUUGUGCCCUCCCCCCCACAGCGCCUGGUGUCCAUGAACAUGCCUCUCAACAGCGACGGCACAGUCAUGUUCAACGCCACCCUCUUCGCCCUGGUGCGCACCGCGCUACGCAUCAAGACAGACGGCAACUUGGAACAGGCAAACGAGGAGCUGCGCGCCAUUG